rnacentral:rRNA from 1 species
UACGGAGGGUGCAAGCGUUAUCCGGAUUUAUUGGGCGUAAAGCGAGCGCAGACGGUUAUUUAAGUCUGAAGUGAAAGCCCUCGGCUCAACCGAGGAAUUGCUUUGGAAACUGGAUAACUUGAGUGCAGUAGAGGAAAGUGGAACCCCAUGUGUAGCGGUGAAAUGCGUAGAUAUAUGGAAGAACACCAGUGGCGAAGGCGGCUUUCUGGACUGUAACUGACGUUGAGGCUCGAAAGUGUGGGUAGCAAACAGG